AAGCGGCAAAAGCUCAAAUUUGAAAUCUGGUACCUUUGGUGCCCGAGUUGUAAUUUGGAGAGUACCACUUUGGGACUGUACUUUGCCUAUGUUCCUUGGAACAGGACGUCAUGGAGGGUGAGAAUCCCGUGUGGCGAGGGUGUCAGUUCUUUGUAAAGGGUGCUCGAAGAGUCGAGUUGUUUGGGAAUGCAGCUCUAAGUGGGUGGUAAAUUCCAUCUAAAGCUAAAUACAGGCGAGAGACCGAUAGCGAACAAGUACAGUGAUGGAAAGAUGAAAAGAACUUUGAAAAGAGAGUGAAAAAGUACGUGAAAUUGUUGAAAGGGAAGGGCAUUUGAUCAGACAUGGUGUUUUGCGCCCCUUGCCUCUCGUGGGCUUGGGACUCUCGCAGCUCACUGGGCCAGCAUCGGUUUUGGCGGCCGGAAAAAACCUAGGGAAUGUGGCUCUGCGCCUCGGUGUAGAGUGUUAUAGCCCUGGGGAAUACGGCCAGCCGGGACCGAGGACUGCGAUACUUGUUAUCUAGGAUGCUGGCAUAAUGGUUAUAUGCCGCCCGUC
rnacentral:rRNA from 1 species